GAUGAACGCUGGCGGCGUGCCUAAUACAUGCAAGUCGAGCGAACAGACGAGGAGCUUGCUCCUCUGACGUUAGCGGCGGACGGGUGAGUAACACGUGGAUAACCUACCUAUAAGACUGGGAUAACGUCGGGAAACCGGAGCUAAUACCGGAUAAUAUAGUGAACCGCAUGGUUCAAUAGUGAAAGACGGUUUUGCUGUCACUUAUAGAUGGAUCCGCGCCGCAUUAGCUAGUUGGUAAGGUAACGGCUUACCAAGGCGACGAUGCGUAGCCGACCUGAGAGGGUGAUCGGCCACACUGGAACUGAGACACGGUCCAGACUCCUACGGGAGGCAGCAGUAGGGAAUCUUCCGCAAUGGGCGAAAGCCUGACGGAGCAACGCCGCGUGAGUGAUGAAGGUCUUCGGAUCGUAAAACUCUGUUAUUAGGGAAGAACAAAUGUGUAAGUAACUAUGCACGUCUUGACGGUACCUAAUCAGAAAGCCACGGCUAACUACGUG
rnacentral:rRNA from 1 species